rnacentral:rRNA from 1 species
UACGAAGGGGGCUAGCGUUGUUCGGAAUUACUGGGCGUAAAGCGCGCGCAGGCGGUCUUCCAAGUCAGUGGUGAAAGCCCGGAGCUCAACUCCGGAACUGCCAUUGAAACUGUUAGACUUGAGGAUGAGAGGGGUGAGUGGAAUUCCCAGUGUAGAGGUGAAAUUCGUAGAUAUUGGGAAGAACACCGGUGGCGAAGGCGGCUCACUGGCUCAUAUCUGACGCUCAGGCGCGACAGCGUGGGGAUCAAACAGG